UCUAUUGGAAAUAACCUCUCUACCUUCAUUAGGUAUGGGUAAGGUCUGCGUACAGACUACCCUCCCCAAACCCCACAUGUUAGAAAUAUACUGGUAUAUAUGUUGUUGUUGUUUGUAUAUAUACUCGUACAUUCCUGAUUAAGACGUAGUAGUUGUUAUAUACUCGUGGCAUUUCUUUUCCAUUUUUCUUUUCGAAGUCUAUUUAUGCUUGAAACCCCCUAGAACUAAUGAGAGGAUAGCUUUAAAAAAGAAUAACAAAUGUGAAAUGGCUAGUGAAAAUUCAUAUAGACCGCCCUGACUAACUUAAAAGUGAGGCUUAAUUGUUGUUGCUGCUGUUAUCGUUGUAAUAACGAGAGAAAAUUAAGAACAACCUACACGUGUCCAGUUAAAACAAAAUCACUUUUACACCUCCAAAAAUCUGUUGGAACCACAGAGGGAAAAAAAGAUGAAUUACAAACUCCUAUGUUCCCUUUUUAGAUAUUUCUGCAAAAAAAAAAAAAAAAGACUAAAAAUGUGAAAAUUAAAUGCUUGUGUUCAAGUUUUAGAAAGAUUGAAAAUUUGUAGUUUGUUAACAAUUAUUGGCCUAAGAAGUGAAUUUCCUAUGCCAAACAUAUUCAAAAGUUGUAUCAGUAACGUAACCUGGAAAACAAAAUAAAUAUAACAUGUUACUACUACGUAUCAGAUAAUUUGCAUUGGCAGUUUAACAAUCUUUAUAUAUGCUGUGUGUAUACAACUUAAAUCUGUAGAAAGGUACCAAAAUGACAAAAAUCAACCUAAAAAGAUACGCAUAUAUAACUUUCCUAUGGAUAAUGUGGGCUCGGAUAAAGCAUUUGAAAGAAGACCCUUUACUAGGAAACUUAGCGUCAAAGCUAAUUCUGUAUGUAAAUUAUUAAAAUUGUUUAAUUGUUUUGAUAAAGUUGUCUCCGUAUAACCUAUACGUCACGGAUUUGAGCCAUGAAAGCAAGUACUAAUGCUUGUAUUAGGGUAGGAUGUCUACAUCACACCUCUUUAGGAUAUGAUUCUUCCACGGACCUUGUGCAAAUGCAAAAUAUUUUAUGUACCGAGUUAUAUAUAUAUAUAUAUAUAUAUAUAUAUAUAUAUAUUUGGUGUCAAUGGCAAAGGACAAUGGCCAUAUAGGAGUAGAAAUUUCCUUCACCUGGGUGUAGUAUUUAACUUUUGUUUUAGCCAAAGGGGAAAUCAUAAGAAGAUGAAAAGAGUAGAAAAAGAUAAAAGAAGCUAUAAAUAAGAGAUACUAAAAGAUAGCUUUUCUGUUUUCUCAGUCUCACUUUUUCUUUCUUUUGCAUGCAUGGCCUCCACUAAUUGAAAAUAUUCUCUUGAAAAUUGGCAAUAUUUGUGUUAUAUAGCAGGGAAAGUUGGCAGUUGCAUGGCAAACAAGGAGAUUAUCCAGGAAACAUACCUUCUCUAGAGCAGAAAGAUAAUAUUGAAGCAAAAUGCUUAAGCUAUGAGGGAAUAUCAGCAGAAGUGAGCUCAUCAACUAUAACAGAAGCAAGUCCAGAGAAGCCUAAUUUGGAGUUCACUUUGGGAAUAAGGCCUAAUAUUUCAUAGUACUAAAAAAGAAAGCAAAAGUACUACUCAUUUUGAAAUCAUUAUAUACUUUUUGAUUUUGACUAGUGAGAGUAGUAAAAAGAACCAAAAAAAAAAA